UCUAAGUGCGGGCCAGCAGCGGGGGUACAACGGAGGGUGCAAGCGUUAAUAGGAAUUACUUGGCGUAAAGCGCACGCAGGCGGUCGGUCAAGUCGGAUGUGAAAUCCCCGGGCUCAACCUGGGAACGGCAUUCGAAACUGGCAGGCUAGAGUCUUGGAGAGGGGGGUAGAAUUCCAGGUGUAGCGGUGAAAUGCGUAGAGAUCUGGAGGAAUACCGGUGGCGAAGGCGGCCCCCUGGACAAAGACUGACGCUCAGGUGCGAAAGCGUGGGGAGCAAACAGGAUUAGAUACCCGUGUAGUC
rnacentral:rRNA from 1 species